UACGAAGGGGGCUAGCGUUGCUCGGAAUUACUGGGCGUAAAGGGCGCGUAGGCGGCACUGUUAGUCAGGCGUGAAAGUCCUGGGCUCAACCUGGGAACUGCGCUUGAUACGGCAGAGCUAGAGGAUGGAAGAGGCUCGCGGAAUUCCCAGUGUAGAGGUGAAAUUCGUAGAUAAUGGGAAGAACACCGGUGGCGAAGGCGGCGAGCUGGUCCAUUACUGACGCUGAGGCGCGACAGCGUGGGGAGCAAACAGG
rnacentral:rRNA from 1 species